UACGGAGGAUGCAAGCGUUAUCCGGAUUCAUUGGGUUUAAAGGGUGCGUAGGCGGACUAUUAAGUCAGUGGUGAAAGCCUGCAGCUUAACUGCAGAACUGCCAUUGAUACUAAUAGUCUUGAGUUUGGUUAAGGUAGGCGGAAUGUGUAAUGUAGCGGUGAAAUGCUUAGAUAUUACACAGAACACCAAUUGCGUAGGCAGCUUACUGAGCCGACACUGACGCUGAGGCACGAAAGCGUGGGGAUCGAACAGGA
rnacentral:rRNA from 1 species